UCAUUUUCAAAGCUAGUUACUUUUUUUUAGUAUUAUGAUGUGGUUUUGUGCCACAGUUUCACUCUGCUUGUUGUGUUGAGGUGAAAUUGUUUUUUCUUAGGAAAAUGAUUAAGAAUACAAAUAAGAUCUGAGAGGUAGAGAUUGAGAUCUCAUAAGAUCUUGAGUCACUGAAAACAGCAUAGUUUUUUCAAUAUAAUAUAAUCAAACCAAAAGAUGCAUGUGGGUGAAUUAUGAUCCUUCAACUAAAUAUGAUAAUCAUUUGAUGGCUUCUUGGUGGGCUCAAUUGUUACAUUUUUGCUGCAAAAGAAUAGGGAAAUGUGUGAAGAGUUUUAACCAAGGUUCUUAAAAACUGUCCAUGACAAUGAGUUCAACCGCAACAUCAAGAUCUUGGGCCUUUUUGCGAUUGCAUUGUGGUUGCAUCGGCCGAAUUUGUCUACAAUUUCCCUUUAUGUCUAGAAUCACAAAUAAAUUGCAAUUUCAACUACCAACAAGUCCUUGGUUGGAGUGGUACUGAACUUGGUCCCCCUCAGUAAAGUUUAGGUCCAAGCCCUAGUUAGUCAUUGGCAAAGUCAGUGACAUUCCAUACCAAUAAUAUGUACAUGGUUUAUCCAAGAAAUUUGCAAUUUAAAACCUUGGUUUUAGCUGUAGUUACAAAAUUCUCCUGUGUAUUGCAUGCCAAAUUCAACUUACCUUGAACUGCAUAACCAUAUGCCUAAUUGACAUGAUUUUGUGUUUUAUUAGUUUAUAUAGAUGUGGUUGAUUUGGUUUCUGAAAAGUGUCCUUAAAAUGAAUGUCUAUUUCAUUUUCAUGAGGCAAUGUUGGCAUUCAUAACAGGUACCAGGCAAUUACAACUGCAUAUUAUAGGGGUGCAACCGGUGCAUUACUAGCAUACGACAUAACCAAGCAGCAAACCUUUGAUCAUGUUGAGAAGUGGUUGGAUGAACUGAGGAUACACGCGGAUCAAAAUAUACUUGUGAUGCUUGUUGGCAACAAAUCUGACCUGAGUUCUCUUAGAGCAGUGCCUGUGGAGGUGGCAAGAGAGUUUGCACAGCAGGAGGGUCUAUUCUUUCUGGAGACAUCUGCACUUGACUCCAGCAAUG
rnacentral:lncRNA from 1 species